AGUUAUGUAAUUCUUGUUAAUUAAUUUAGGUUAGAAAUUUAUAUAAAUGAAAAAUAAUUUUUAAUAAAAGAAAAGUAAUUUUUAAUGAAAAAAAAAAUAACUAUAGGAAAUAGUCCUGUAAAGGAAAGAAAAAUAAAAAUUUAAAAAAAAAGAAAAAAUAGAAUUUUGUACCUUGUGUAUAAGGGAAAAUUUAUAUAAUUAAAAUAAUAUUAAAGUCUCGAAAGAGAAAUAGCUAAUUUUAUAAAAGAGUUUUUGUAGGAAUGAGAUUUUAAAUAUAGAAUUAAAGAUGAAAUGUUAAACGAGUUUUAUUAUAUCUAGUUUUUUAAAAGAAAAAUUUAAUUUAGUUUAUAUAUUUAUAAAAGUAUAAAAGUAAAAAAUAGAAAGGUAAGCUUUUUAUUAAGAGAAGGAAAUAGAAAAAUAAUAAAUAACAAAAUGAUCUAGGCUUAAAAGUAGCUAAGUUUUUAAAGUGUUUUAACUAAGUUAAUAAAUAAAAGUUUAUUCUUUUCUUAAAUAUUAAAAAUUUAUUAAAAAUAUAAAAUAAUAAGAUAAAAUGAUUUUAUUAGUAGAAAAAAAAUUUAUUGUAAUAAAUGAAGUGAAAGAUAAAAGUUAAAAGAGUUCAAAAAAUUAAGAUGUUUCAAAGGAAUUCAGUAAUUUUUUUUCUUGCCUGUUUAUCAAAAACAUGUCUAUUUGAAGUUAUAAGAAGUCUAGCCUGCCCACUGAUUAAAAGUAAAAUUUAAGGGCCGCGGUAUUAUGACCGUGCAAAGGUAGCAUAAUCAUUAGGUUUUUAAAUGAGAUCUUGUAUGAAUGGUUGGACAAAGGAAAAACUGUCUUUGAAACAAUAUAUUAAAUUUUACUUUUAAGUGAAAAGGCUUAAAUAUUUUAGGGGGACGAUAAGACCCUAUAAAGCUUUACAUUAAAAUUAUAUAAAAUUAAAUUUUUAAUAUGAAAAUUUUGUAUUGUUAUUUGUUUUGUUGGGGAGACAAGGGUAAAAAUUAUAUUAACUGCUCUAAAAAAAAUCAUUUGUUAAUGCACAAAAAAUUAAAGAUCCUAUAAAUAUAUAGAUUAAAAGAUUAAGUUACUUUAGGGAUAACAGUGCAAUUUUUUUUAAGAGUCCAUAUCGAAAAAAAAGUUUACAACCUCGAUGUUGAAUUAAAAUAUCUUUAUAAUGUAGUUGUUAUAAAAGAAGGUCUGUUCGACCUUUAAUUUUUU
rnacentral:rRNA from 1 species